rnacentral:rRNA from 1 species
UGGCGCCUACGGGGCGCAGCAGUGGGGAAUAUUGCACAAUGGGGGAAACCCUGAUGCAGCAACGCCGCGUGAGUGAAGAAGUAUUUCGGUAUGUAAAGCUCUAUCAGCAGGGAAGAAGAAAGACGGUACCUGACUAAGAAGCCCCGGCUAACUACGUGCCAGCAGCCGCGGUAAUACGUAGGGGGCAAGCGUUAUCCGGAUUUACUGGGUGUAAAGGGAGCGUAGACGGGAAAUUAAGUUAGUUGUGAAAUCCCUCGGCUUAACUGAGGAACUGCAACUAAAACUGAUUUUCUUGAGUGUUGGAG